rnacentral:rRNA from 1 species
GAUGAACGCUGGCGGCGUGCCUAACACAUGCAAGUCGAGCGAACAGACGAGGAGCUUGCUCCUCUGACGUUAGCGGCGGACGGGUGAGUAACACGUGGAUAACCUACCUAUAAGACUGGGAGAACUUCGGGAAACCGGAGCUAAUACCGGAUAAUAUAUUGAACCGCAGGGUUCAAUAGUGAAAGACGGCUUUGCUGUCACUUAUAGAUGGAUCCGCGCCGCAUUAGCUAGUUGGUAAGGUAACGGCUUACCAAGGCGACGAUGCGUAGCCGACCUGAGAGGGUGAUCGGCCACACUGGAACUGAGACACGGUCCAGACUCCUACGGGAGGCAGCAGUAGGGAAUCUUCCGCAAUGGGCGAAAGCCUGACGGAGCAACGCCGCGUGAGUGAUGAAGGUCUUCGGAUCGUAAAACUCUGUUAUUAGGGAAGAACAAAUGUGUAAGUAACUAUGCACGUCUUGACGGUACCUAAUCAGAAAGCCACGGCUAACUACGUG